rnacentral:rRNA from 1 species
UACGGAGGAUCCAAGCGUUAUCCGGAAUUACUGGGCGUAAAGAGUUGCGUAGGUGGCACUGUAAGUCGGUAGUGAAAGCGUGGAGCUCAACCCCAUAUACAUUAUCGAAACUGCAGAGCUAGAGGACGAGAGAGGCAUCUGGAAUUCCUAGUGUAGGAGUGAAAUCCGUAGAUAUUAGGAGGAACACCGAUGGCGUAGGCAGGGUGCUGGCUCGUUCCUGACACUAAGGCACGAAAGCGUGGGGAGCAAACGGG